rnacentral:tRNA from 1 species
ACAUCUUUAGCUUAAUUGGUAAAGCUUUGGCCUUCGGAGCCACUGACUAUUGGUUCGAGUCCAAUAAGAUGUU